GACGAACGCUGGCGGCGUGCUUAACACAUGCAAGUCGAACGGUUAAGCGCCUUCCUUUUUGGUGGGUGUGGUUGAGCGGCGAACGGUUGAGUAACACGUUAGUAACCUGCCCCCUCUUUCUGGAUAACCGCAUGAAAUUGUGGCUAAUACGGGAUAUCUUGGGUCUGUGGCUUGAUGGGUCUGGGACAGAUAUUGUUUCGUUGGGGGAUGGGCUCGCGGCCUAUCAGCUUGUUGGUGGGGGGAGGGCUUACCAAGGCGGUGACGGGUAGGCGGUCUGGGGGGGUGGACGGUCUGACUGGGACUGAGGCACGGCCCGGUCUCCUUCGGGGGGCAGCGGUGGGUACUACUGUACAAUGCGCGCAAGACUGAUGCAGCGACGCCGCGUAUGUUGUGGUGGCCUUCGGGUUGAGAACCUCUUUCGGUAGGGAAGCAGGUCUGCCUUGUGUGUGGGUGGGUUGACGGUAGCUGGAGAAGGAGCGCCGGCUAACUACGUG
rnacentral:rRNA from 1 species